GCACCCCUCUUCCUCCCCGGGGCCUUCCACCUCCGCGAGUUUUAUGACUUAAAAAAGCCCACAGGCUGGUCUGAAGAGGAAGACAAACAUAAAGAUGAAGUGCUUAAUUCAAGGUCACACAAUGUCGGGGAUGGACCUCCAGAUUUCCUUACUGACCUGCAUUAUCUUGUGGAUACCUGAGUGAAUUCCACACCACCCAUUUUAUAGAUGAAACCACUGAGACAUGGAGCAAUUGACUGAGUAGUCACUGCCCCACCCCUGCCUGGAGCCUCACACAUGACUCGCCUCCUCUCAGUGACCACAGGUUGGUUGAGGGGUUUAACAAGGCUAAGAAGAAAAAACAAAACUGGAUACAUGUGCAGAACAUGCAGGUUUGUUACAUAGCUGUACGUGUGCCAUGGUGGUUUGCUGCACCUAUUGACCUAUCCUACCAAGUGUGUUGGGGACUUGAGAUGCGUACAUGAGUGUGAUGUUUCCUGCUGAAAGCACAGGUGAGACGUGGUCUUGUAACACAGUGGUUAAGAAUGUGACUUUGGAGCCAGCCUGCUAGGGGCUGAAUUCUGACUCAGCCAUUUACUAACUGUGUGACCUUAGGCUGGAGUGCAAUGGCAUGAUCUCGGCUCAUCACAACCUCUGCUUCCUGGGUUCAAGCGAUUCUCCUGCCUCAGCCUCCCGAGUACCUGGGACUACAGGCACUCGCCACCAUGCCCGGCUGAUUUUUGUAUUUUUAAUAGAGAUGGUUUCACUAUGUUGGCCAGGCUGGUCUCGAACUCCUGACCUUGUGAUCUGCCCACCUCAGCCUCGAAAAGUGCUGGGAUUACAGGCGUGAGCCACUGCGCCCAGCCUUGUAUUUUUUUUCAGUUUGGGUAGCUGUCCCUAAUUCAUUUGUUAAAGGAGAAGCAAGAGCAAGAACCUUUAAUCUGUUCUCCUCUUCCCUAAUUUGAAAGUAGCUUGUUAUUUUGAAUAUCACUUUCUCUGAAAUAGCACAUCUCCAUCUCAGAGAAUGGAUUUAAUGUUUGGAUACAGCCAAAAGUCAUUUCAUUACCAAACCAUGGGGUGAAUAUACCAUGUAAAGCAGUUUGGGAUCAGAACUCACAGUCUGAAUUGUAAGUGAUGAGACUGCUGUCUCUCUGCUACAGCUUCUUGGCUGGCUCUGAAGGCUCUUUGAAGGCAGAUCCUAACAAGGGGACUGCUUUGAAGGGCCAUUGUUCAUUUGGAAUGAUAAAGUCUAUGUUGUUCAAAAAACAAAUGCUUGUAGCAGGUAUUUUUUCACUCCAGACUGAGAAUAUUGGUGGGAUAUUGAUAAGGGGUACUGAAUGGUAAUAAACAUGUGCUCUAGCUCUGUGCUAGUCAGCUUAUUUCAGAACUCUAGUUUGAUUCAGUUUCUUGCCUCUGACUCAAAAUGGAGGGAGAGUGAUUUUUACAUAAGAGAACACACCCACAUAUCCUUUUGGCAGCAGCUACCUGCCAGAGAUGUUGAAGAAGAGUAGCCAACCUUUACACAGCAGAUAUUGUGUGCCAGUCAUAGUCCUAAGUAUAAUACCUUACAUGUAUAAACUUCUUAUAAGGUUGGUGCUCUGUACCGAAUUGAAUAGUAUCCCCCAAAAUUCAUGUUGUCCCAGAACCUAUGAAAGUGAUC
rnacentral:lncRNA from 1 species